GAAGAAGUGUUGAUGGACUUAUCAGAUGCAAUUAUGGCAUGUGGGUACAGAGGGCCAAUAAACAUUGGAACAAAAGAGGCUAUCACUCAGGCUAUCACCUUGCAUGCAAAGGUGAGGCUGAUCCCGAUUCUGAACCAGCUACAUGAAGGACUGAAGCUCUAUGGAUUAGAUGAUUUUUUGAAGCAUCACCGACAGAUGUGCCAGCAGCUCUUUGUUCCUGGCCACUUAAAUGAGGUGGAUUCAAACUUCCUUUUGCGUGCAUUGUGUCCUGAUUUCAGCGAGAAAGGGUCUGUCAGACGGCAAAGAGAAAUGAAAGACUUCCUUGAUUUGUAACCCUGACCAUUCUUUGACAUUACUCUCAUCUCUUAGAAGAAGCAAACAGCA